rnacentral:rRNA from 1 species
GACGAACGCUGGCGGCGUGCUUAACACAUGCAAGUCACGGGGGGCUCGCAAGGGCAACCGGCGAACGGGUGCGUAACACGUGAGCAACCUGCCGAUCUGAGGGGGGAUAGCCGGCCCAACGGCCGGGUAAUACCGCAUACGCUUGUGUGGCCUCAUGGCUAGACAAGGAAACCUCCGGGGCAGAUCGAGGGGCUCGCGGCCUAUCAGCUAGUUGGCGGUGUAAUGGACCACCAAGGCGACGACGGGUAGCUGGUCUGAGAGGAUGGCCAGCCACAUUGGGGACUGAGAGACGGCCCAGACUCCUACGGGAGGCAGCAGUGGGGAAUCUUGCGCAAUGGCCGAAAGGCUGACGCAGCGACGCCGCGUGUGGGAUGAAGGCUUUC